rnacentral:rRNA from 1 species
GAUGAACGCUGGCGGCGUGCCUAAUACAUGCAAGUCGAGCGAACGGACCAGAAGCUUGCUUCUCUGAUGUUAGCGGCGGACGGGUGAGUAACACGUGGAUAACCUACCUAUAAGACUGGGAUAACUUCGGGAAACCGGAGCUCAUACCGGAUAAUAUUUUGAACCGCAUGGUUCAAAAGUGAAAGACGGUCUUGCUGUCACUUAUAGAUGGAUCCGCGCUGCAUUAGCUAGUUGGUAAGGUAACGGCUUACCAAGGCAACGAUGCAUAGCCGACCUGAGAGGGUGAUCGGCCACACUGGAACUGAGACACGGUCCAGACUCCUACGGGAGGCAGCAGUAGGGAAUCUUCCGCAAUGGGCGAAAGCCUGACGGAGCAACGCCGCGUGAGUGAUGAAGGUCUUCGGAUCGUAAAACUCUGUUAUUAGGGAAGAACAUAUGUGUAAGUAACUGUGCACAUCUUGACGGUACCUAAUCAGAAAGCCACGGCUAACUACGUG